AGGAAAGCCCAGGAAGGCUGGAAAAGUGCUGUGUAAUGAUGAGCAGGAAGUGCUCGGCCUCCCCCCCAGCUUCCCCCCGCGGAGCGGCUCUGUCUGACGCCGCGGUUUGCUCGCCUUACGAGAAAGGGAGUUGGUGUUGCCCGUAAUGCGGGCAGAGCGGGGCUACUGCAAAGCUGGAAGGCUGGAAUAAGUCACAGAAAUACUUUUUCUUCCUUUUUGCCCCUUGUUGCUCUCCUUCCCACCAGCAAAAGCACGGAGUGGCGCCGUUUCUCUGGGAUGCGGGCCUCUCUGCAGCGCAGAAGGCUCCGACGCCGGCGGUGCUUGCCCGGGGUAAACACUGAGCGCCUCCCGUAGCUCCCCUCACGGAGGGACUCAGCCAGGACCAGAAAGACUCCUCGCGGAAACAACUCAGCCGACCCAUCCGAGGAGACUCUGGCGGAACCUUAGGCUCCCAUUUGUCUUGUUUAUUUCUCUGUGUUUUGGAGACAUCCUUUGUUUCACCACAUCCUGUGCCGCUGCCCACCACAGGUCUGCCACAGCCCUCCUCUUCUGUUGGGCUGGUAGGAUUUAAUGUUGGACUCUGGAGGUUGCUGACUCCAGCUCCCAUUGCACGGGACACAGGAAAGGUUAGGAUUUGGGAUACUGGUGCCAGGUGUGUCACGAAUGGGCUGUUUCUGCAGGUUUCAGCAGCUGGGUUACCAGGCUGUGAAAGGUUUCCUCUGGGAUACAGCUGAGCAGAGGAUGGGAAGACUUAGUGCAAGUCCUGUAUAAAAAAAACACUUCUUCCUUAAAAAGAAUAAGAAAACAGAAGACAGUUUGGUUUGGAUGCAGGUACCAGCUUAUCCCAACAAGAUGUGCCCUCUUAAUGUUGCUUUGCUUGUAGUGAGAACGGUGUAAGUAAUUCUUUAUUUUGGAAGUAUAUUAAGUGUGAGGUAUACUACAGCAGCAGAACUAGUAAGCUCUUUCCUGGCCCUUUAGUUGCAUCCCUUUUGCUCAGCUUUAGUUGCACCACAGUCAGCUACCUCCUGUCUAGCUCUUUCCAUACCUGGUAUUUAUCUGCCUGAAACACUUCGGGUGCUACUGUCCCUGUUUCUUCCCCUGCCUGUUGGAUACCAUAAGUAUCCCCUUUUUCCCUUUGGAAAAAAAAAAAUAUUAGAGGAGCCAGGAUGCCUGUGGGUGAGAAACAGCACCGUGAAGGCCUGGUGGUUUCUGUUGUCUUUCAUAUUUUCUUCCAACUUCCUCCAGCUGGUCCCUGCUGCCCUUGUGUCUGUGUGUCCUUUGGCUGACAGACACAGUUGGUACAUGUGCCCUGUGCUGCUUUGGGGAGUGCAGCUGCUGCUGCUGGCUCAAGAGAAAGUAGGAAUUCCUCAUCAGCAAGGCACCUUGCUCUGCAACCUGCUGCCUGGCAGGAUAAAAUUACAAGAAGCCCAGCAUACCUUCGAAGUCCAGCUCCAGGAUGCUCCACCUCUGCCAAGCAUUGCGUGGCUCUUGCAGAAGCCAGUGCAAGCAAAGGCAGGAAACAACCCACCCAGAUAAUAAAUUCUUAGAAAUCAACAGCUUUCUCUAGGCAAGUGUAGGCAUGCAAUGGAGAGUGAGAAAAAGCGAAAAUAAGAGAGAAAAAGGAAAGAAAAAAGGAAAUGGAAAAAAGAGCAGGAAACCAGAUCCAGCAGCUUGUGCUGACUUCUUGUAAGGCACCUUCAGCAGAGGAUAUGCAGUUGCAGUACUUCAUAUCUCGUUGCAUCAGUUUCACAAACUGAUCUGUGGGCAGCACUGCUGAUGCAGUGGCUAGAGCUGAAGGGAACCUGCAAAAAGUGUUUCCAGUUAUUUUCUGCUUUUAUGGUCCUGAUGAUCUACUAUGUGAUUGGACAUGUGGCUCUCUCAAGGUUCCUUGAAUACUCCUCUGUCUGCCUUUGAGGCAGAGAGUACUCUUGUAGUGCUGACAUGUGGCACUUUUCCUCCUGCAUCCUCAGACAGACACCCCACCCCAUCCCUAAGAGCUCCAGCAGCCACUGACUACAAGCUCUAUUUUGGAGACCUGGGCUGGCAGCAAUACAGCCUGGGGGAAGAACAGGGAAGUCCCAGCUCCAGCCCAGACUGUAUCUCUCCAUCUCCAGUGCAUGGCUGGGCAGAUUACCUGAUGCCUGUGCUUUAGUUUCCCCAUCUUUGUAGAUGACAUCAAUACCUGCAAGUCUUGCUAUGGAAAUUAAUUACAUGUGGCUGUGGUCUGAAAACUGGCCAAGCUCACACCCAUCCGCAGAGGAUCAGCCCUGUGACACUCAGGACACCACCAAGUGACAUCCUCAUCUCGUCAGAAGAAGAGUGGCUGCAGCUGCAGCAACACAUGGGUGCAGGCAGAAACUGAGGGUGGCAGCAGCAUCCAUCCCAUCAACUCACCAUAUCUAGGCAGGGUGGCAAAGGAGCCUGAGCUUCUGGCAUUUCUAUUGAAAAGCCUGGGCUGCUGCCCUGGCAGCCAGCAUUCUGAGUGCAGGGGACCAAGUUCUGUAGCCCUGUUACAGUACAGCAGGAUGCCACACAGGAUGUAACAUUCAGCCAGGAGGCCAAGCCUGGGUUUUGACAUCACAGUGCUAGUUCAACAUAUAGAGGCAGUGCAGCUUCCUGUCAGCCUGCAGAGGGACAAGAGUGUUGUUGCUCUGGAGACUGACUUUCCCUCACAAGACCCUCCAGAGAUUGCUGGGUGAAAACACCCCUGCUUCCUGUGGGAGGUGUGUUACUCACUUUUGGCCUUAAAACACCCUGCUGUGGGGCUGAUUGCACCCAAGCACUGUGGAGAUAUACACCCUGUAUACAGUUCCUCCAAAGCAGCUGAGACAACACACUGGGCGUUGCUUCUCCUUGCGGCUGCUGUGUGGAGCAGUGCUGCCCCUAGAAGGGGUCUGACUGUGCCAGGCUGCAGGGCACUGUCUGCUGUGCAUCUGGCUCACUGCUUUGUAGUCCUGAAGAUGCCUGCCUGCCUCACUGUGCCUACAUAGGCAGGGCACAACUAAAUUUCCCACCAACAGUUUUGAUGUUUUUAAAUUAAGGGAAAACAAUGGGCAGCAGAUCUGGUUUUUUCUUUGCAGCCCUCUGUCCAUCCAUGCCUCGGGAGAUGUGGAGCUGGCACAAGAGUCAGCACUACUUUCCCACAAGUGGCAGACAGUGGCUCCACUGUGCACGUGUGUGUGCAUGAGGGAGGUACAGAAAUAACUUAUCUGUUAUCUGUUAUAUAUUAACUGGUGAAGGUUUCCUGAUAGCAGAUUGUCUGGAUUAAGUGAUGUCACUUUAUUUCCCAAUGGAAUUUUUUUGUGUGUUGGACUAUGUGGAAGAUCCAGUUGUGGUCUUGCUGUCCUUUUACAGAAGUCACCCUGGCUGUUAUUUCCUGUACUAGCCCACUGAUACCUUAUAUAGAUCCUGAUCCUUGACUUGAUUUGAAUUUCAUUAAACUACACAGAAAUGCCUUUGCCCAGCUAUGAAUAUUGACUGCUGGGGAUAUCUGCAGCUGCUUUUGCAUUCAAAGCACCCACUGGUGAUGAGGACAAUACUGAGAGAGACAGUGCACCCAGCUACAUGUCAAAUAUGACAGGGUCCUGAGCCUUUUUGGGUCUGACAGGGAACUUGGCACCAGUGAAGGUAAGUUCUUGUGCGAGCUUACUUCAGGUAUUCUUUGCCUCAGUCUUUAAUACUAAGAUUGGCUGUCCACAGGGUAGUUGAGCUGAAAGGCGGGAUACGGAAUAGAAUGAAGCUCCUAUAAUUCAAUGGAAAAUGGUGUAUCCCAGGGUUCAGUGUUGGGGUCAGUUCUGUUUAAAAUCUUUAUUGAUGAUCUGGAUGAAGGGACUGACUGCACCUGCAGUCUGUUUGCAAAUGACACCAACCUGGGUGGGAGUGUUGAUCUGCUGGAAGGUUUUGCAGAGGGAUCUGGACAGUCUGGAAUGGUGGGCUGAGGCCAAUUGUAUGAGGUUCAACAAGGCCAAGUGCCAGAUGCUGCACUUGGGUCACAACAACCUCACAUGGUGAAGGGAGGAGUGGCUGGAAAGCCGCCCAGCAGAAAAGGACUGUGGGGCGCUGGUCAACAUCUGGCUGAACAUGAGCCAGCAGGGAGCUCAGGUGGCCAAGGAGGACAAUGGAAUCCUAGCCUGUAUCAGCAAGAGUUUUGGAUCAGGACCCUGGGGCAGUGACUGUCCCCCUUGUACUGGGCACUGAGUGAGGCCCCACCUUGAAUGCUGUGCCCAGAUUUAUACACCUGACAUUGCACACCUUACAUAAGAAAGACAUUCAUGUGUUGAAGCAUGUCCAGGAAAGGGCUAUGGAGCUGGGGAAGGUUCUGGAGCAUAAGCCUCAUGAGGAGCAACUGAGUGAGCUGGGAUAUUUUACCUGGAGAAAAUGAAAGGAGGUUGUAGCCAGGUGAGGGUUGUUCUGUGGUCUCAAAUAACAAAUGACAGGACAAGUGAAAACAGCCUUUAGCUGAGCCAGGGAGGUUUAUAUUGGAUAUUAGUAAAAUUUUUUCACUGAAAGGGUUGCCAAGCAUUGAAAAUGGCUGCCCAGAAGUCACCAUCCUUCGAUGUAUUUAAAAGACACGUAAAUGUGUAAUUUGAUGGUCUUGGCAGUGCGAAGUUAACAGUUGGAUUCAAUGUUAUUAAAGAUAUUUUCCAACCUUAACAAUUCUAUGAUUCUGUGGUUCACUUUUGCUGGAUAGCUUUACCUCUAUUACUCUAAGGUUCAAUUACAAAUCUUCUGGGAAACGUAAGUGGAUGGACAGGGCUCUCUCUUCUAAUUCUUGGUUCUUAAGUGCUUGAUGGUUUUUGGAGUGCUGGUGUGUGUGUACUGAGUCAUUCAAUCCCAGCCAGAUUGUAUUCUAUACCACUUUUGCAUCUUUUCAUGAAUAACCUGAAAGUCUCAAAAAUCUCACAGUAGCUUAUUGAAAGCAAAAACAUAAAAAAACUUCUGGAUUGAGAUCUCUGACUGUACAGUGUGCUUAUUAUGCUGUAUUGUGCCUUGUUUUACACUAACUCAACUCAUCAAGUCCAGUGUUUCCUUAGAGGGAGCCAAGACUCCAGGUAACCUAGAAAACAUACACUUUUUUGGUGCAGUGGGAUAUUUGCUCCACUUACAUUCAAUCCUUUGUUUUAUUGAACCCCAUAACUACCA